rnacentral:lncRNA from 1 species
UAGGCUUGAAUUAUGUGGUCCAAAGACAAAGAACAGUCUCUUGUCAGCAGAGAAUUCAAACACUAGUGAGGGGAUAGGUUGCAGGUCCUGUAUGGGCAUUGGAGAGAAUGGCAGAGAUUUACCAAUGUUUACCAAUAAUGAAACUGUGUUUGCAGGGAUUGGCUACCAUCAGAGAAAAAAGUGAAGGAAAAGCAGAUGCUAAAUUCAUCAAAUGAAGAGCAACAGAGCAGUGGGUAAAGUUAGACAUAUCAAAAUGUGCGACUGGAUAUUUAUGAUGAGCUCAAAUAGGGCUCUAAUUUAAUAUGUAUUCUUUCCUUUUAAUAUUGGCUUCUAACCUGUAAGGUUGGAGAAAGCCAUUUUUCUGCUUCUCUUUAAUUAAACAGUAGAAUUGAUGUUGAGAAUUAGUCUAAUGACUUUUCCUUCCUUACUUGAUAAAUUAUUUGAAAUGGUAAUAAAAAA